UCGAACGAGAAAGUGGAGCAAUCCAUGAGUAAAGUGGCGCACGGGUGAGUAACACGUGACUAACCUACCCUGGAGUGGGGGAUAACUGAGGGAAACCUUAGCUAAUACCGCAUAACACCUACGGGUCAAAGGAGCAAUUCGCUUCAGGAGGGGGUCGCGGCCGAUUAGUUAGUUGGCGGGGUAAUGGCCCACCAAGACGAUGAUCGGUAUCCGGCCUGAGAGGGCGCACGGACACACUGGAACUGAAACACGGUCCAGACUCCUACGGGAGGCAGCAGUGGGGAAUUUUGCGCAAUGGGGGAAACCCUGACGCAGCAACGCCGCGUGGAGGAUGAAGUCCUUCGGGACGUAAACUCCUUUCGAUCGGGACGAUUAUGACGGUACCGGAAGAAGAAGCCCCGGCUAACUUCGUGCCAGCAGCCGCGGUAAUACGAGGGGGGCGAGCGUUGUUCGGAAUUAUUGGGCGUAAAGGGUGCGUAGGCGGUUUGGUAAGUCUUUUGUGAAAUCUCUGGGCUCAACUCAGAGCUUGCAGGAGAAACUGCCGGGCUUGAGUGUGGGAGAGGUGAGUGGAAUUCCUGGUGUAGCGGUGAAAUGCGUAGAUAUCAGGAGGAACACCUGUGGCGAAAGCGGCUCACUGGACCACAACUGACGCUGAUGCACGAAAGCUAGGGGAGCAAACAGGAUUAGAUACCCUGGUAGUCCUAGCCCUAAACGAUGACUGCUUGGUGUGACGGGUACCCAAUCCCGCCGUGCCGUAGCUAACGCGUUAAG
rnacentral:rRNA from 1 species